rnacentral:rRNA from 1 species
CGCGUAGGCGGCCUGCUAAGUUUGAAGUGAAAGUCCUGCUUUUAAGGUGGGAAUUGCUUUGAAAACUGGCGGGCUUGAGUGCAGGAGAGGUAAGUGGAAUUCCCGGUGUAGCGGUGAAAUGCGUAGAGAUCGGGAGGAACACCAGUGGCGAAGGCGACUUACUGGACUGUUACUGACGCUGAGGCGCGAAAGUGUGGGGAGCAAACA